GAGUAGGGCGGAUCGAGGAGGGAGAACAGGAGGCAAGGGAGGCCAUCUAAGAAUUUAUUUAGAUAAUCAAGGCAUGAGGUAACAAGUUAUUUAGGUAAUAACCUAAAUGCUUAUCAUGGCAAUAGGAAGUUAAAGGGCAAAUGUGGGAGACAUUUCAAAGGGGAAUUAUGAUUAUGUUAACCUAACAGGAGAGCCAGGAGGAGGCACCUGCUUUUUUCUUCUCAAUGUCUUUUGCCUCCACACUAGAUCGUAACCUCUGGUAAGGCUGGGAGAUAUUUUUCAAUCUUUCCACAGUGGGAUUUAGACAACUGCGGCCUUGACUAUCAUAAUCCAAAUGUCUAACAUGAAAAUUAAUCAUAUGGCAAGCUAGAGCUGGGGUGAGGUGGAAGGUAAGGGGGCAGGGGGUAUCUUUAAGUACUCAUUCUAAUGAUGAAGCCUGGAUUUGGCCUCCCCUCAUUCCCUGCAGUCUCACUUGGGCUAUGUACUAUGAGCCCCCUUUCGAAGGAGUUAAAAUUAAUUUGGAAAAGUGUUCUGAAGUAACUCUGUGGAGGAGAAACAGAAUGAAUAUCCAAGACAUUUCCUCUGGACUAGCUAAUCCUUUUGCCACUGCUUGAUCUCACCUUCCUUUGAUUGUUUCUCCUCUACUUCCUACUUUUUACUGUUGGUAUAUUUUUAUGUGUUCAUUAUUCAAUGUCUUUUGAAAAGUACCCUGAACUCUUUGGAGAGUAUGUGCUAUGUAAACACAAUAAAGAAAUGAAUACAAUGUCUCCUUUUACAAGAGAAUAAGUUUUACUAUUUCUGAUAGUACGAAGUUUACCCCUCACUCAGCACUAGCCUGAAGAGUAAGUAGGUAUAUUCUGAGGGACAUCAGAUUCCACUCUAAAGUACUUCCCUAACUACCUGAAAUCCCAUUAAUUUGAUGACAAAUAUAUUUUUUAAUUUGAGCCUUAUAGGUUUUUCAAGAAUCCCUUAUUAAAAUGCGAAUACCAAAGCAGGCGAACAGAUCAUGAUAUAACCUUAGUCCCCUUUAUAUUAACCCACCACUUCUAUCGAACACAUUUUUCACAUUCCAAAUUUUUCCAUGCCUUUGUUUAUGCUUUUCUUCUUCCAGAGGUAAUGCUAAAUUUAAUAUAAAUUAGAAAUAUAACAUUACCUUAUAUUUUCACAUAAUCUCUCAUUUGAUAUUCAAAUCCAAGCCUACUUGAUCUUUUUAAAAACAAUUUAUUUUUUUCCAAUGUAAGAAUAACAAGUUUAAUAU
rnacentral:lncRNA from 1 species